rnacentral:lncRNA from 1 species
CAGGGAGCCGACAGGAGGGAAGUGUCAUUUGUACAAAUUGCCAGUUCGUGCCAGCUUGGGAGAGACCUCACAAGGGAAACCUGGAGCCUUCCCUGCUUUUCAUGUGAGCGGAUGCCCCUUUUAUUCCUGAGCAAGGAGUAAGUGGAGAAGAAAGGAGCCCCUGUCAGCCUCACGGAGACAAAUUGCUUCCUGCAGCAGAGGUGGCUCAGCGCUAACAACCACCCACUGCCAGAGAAUGAUUUACUGGGCCGACGUGUGAAAGUGCAUGGGACUCUGCUGCUCGGGUGGCAGAAAAUACCUUCCUGCCUAAAUGAAGUGACCCUCCCAACGUGCAGGGUUAAAGAUAGAUGCGGUGCUCUUGUUCCCUGCCUCCUCUACAUCAGAUGGGCUCUUAUCUCCCCACGUGCUCUCCUCUUCGGGAGGAGGUGGGCAGAACAGCCGACAGAGGACUGCGAGCCCUAAAGUUAUUAAAACAGUGCAGGCAACAAAGCAGUGUGGAUUCCCUGCAGCUCUGACAUUUCCAGAGGGUGAAAGGUAAAAAUGCAGGGAGGCUAUGUAGAAAACAUCGGGCAGUGCUUUUUUGGUUUCUGCCUGAGCUCUGAAAGCAGCUAAUUAAAUGGGAGGGAGAGAUUCACAGAGCGAGCUCCAAGCCAGCCAAUAAAAGCAGUGCCCAAUGGGGAAUGGCUGUCGUGGCUGUGUGUGGAUGAAGGCUUCUCCCCACUGGGGAAUGGUUUGGGGAAUGGUUGGGAGUGCAUCUUGCCACAACCAAAUGGCUCCAUUCACAGCUCCUUGUCAUUCACCCUAACUCAGAUCCCAAGGCUGGGAGCCAAAUGGCACAGAAAGGUUCAACGAAUCGCAGAACAGC